GCACUGCUGACGAGUCCCACACCGGACGGAGCAGCUGUCCAGUGC
rfam:Echinostoma caproni strain Egypt genome assembly, scaffold: ECPE_scaffold0001752